GAUGAACGCUGGCGGCGUGCCUAAUACAUGCAAGUCGAGCGAACGGACGAGAAGCUUGCUUCUCUGAUGUUAGCGGCGGACGGGUGAGUAACACGUGGAUAACCUACCUAUAAGACUGGGAUAACUUCGGGAAACCGGAGCUAGUACCGGAUGAUAUUUUGAACCGCAUGGUUCAAAAGUGAAAGACGGUCUUGCUGUCACUUAUAGAUGGAUCCGCGCUGCAUUAGCUAGUUGGUAAGGUAACGGAUUACCAAGGCAACGAUGCAUAGCCGACCUGAGAGGGUGAUCGGCCACACUGGAACUGAGACACGGUCCAGACUCCUACGGGAGGCAGCAGUAGGGAAUCUUCCGCAAUGGGCGAAAGCCUGACGGAGCAACGCCGCGUGAGUGAUGAAGGUCUUCGGAUCGUAAAACUCUGUUAUUAGGGAAGAACAUAUGUGUAAGUAACUGUGCACAUCUUGACGGUACCUAAUCAGAAAGCCACGGCUAACUACGUG
rnacentral:rRNA from 1 species